GGUUCGAUUCUGGCUCAGAUUGAACGCUGGCGGGAUGCUUUACGCAAGUUUGAACGGCAGCACGGACUUCGGUCUGGUGGCGAGUGGCGAACCGCGAGUAAUGUAUCGGAACGUGCCUAGUAGCGGGGAUAACUACGCGAAAGUUUACAAGACGCAGAACAUUCGGGAAAGCGGGGACCUUCGGGCCUCGCACUAUUAGAGCGGCUUAUUUUAUCGGAUUAGCUAGUUGGUGGGGUAACGGCUCACCAAGGCGACGAUCCGUAGCUGGUUUGAGAGGACGACCAGCCACACUGGGACUGGAGACACGGCCCAGACUCAUCGGAGCAGUGGGGUGAAAUCGGACAAUGGGGGAAACCCUGAUCCAGCCAUCCCGCGUGCGAUGAAGGCCUUCGGGUUGUAAAGCACUUUUUGGCAGGAAAGAAACGGCACGGGAUAAUACCCUCGUGCAACUGACGGUACCUGCAGAAUAAGCACCGGCUAACUACGUGCCAGCAGCCGCGGUAAUACGUAGGGUGCAAGCGUUAAUCGGAAUUACUGGGCGUAAAGCGUGCGCAGGCGGCUCUGGAAAGAAAGACGCGUGAAAUCCCAGAGCUUAACUUUGGAACUGCAUUUUUAACUACCGAGCUAGAGUGUGUCAGAGGGAGGUGGAAUUCGCGUAUAGCAGUGAAAUGCGUAGAUAUGCGGAGGAACACCGAUGGCGCCGCCGCGCUCCUGGGAUAACACCUCCGACGCUCGGCGCACGAAAGCGUGGGAGCAAACAGAUUAGAUACCCUGGUAGUCCACGCCCUAAACGAUGUCAACUAGCUGUUGGGGCCUUCGGCCUGCAGUAGCGCAGCUAACGCGUGAAGUUGACCGCCUGGGGAGUACGGUCGCAAGAUUAAAACUCAAAGGAAUUGACGGGGACCCGCACAAGCGGUGGAUGAUGUGGAUUAAUCUUCGAUGCAACGCGAAACCACCUACCCUUGACAUGUCUGGAAUCCCGAAGAGAUUUGGGAGUGCUCGCAAGAGAACUCGAACACAGGUGCUGCAUGGCUGUCGUCAGCUCGUGUCGAGAUGUUGGGUUAAGUCCCGCAACUGAGCGCAACCCUUGUCAUUAGUUGCUACGAAAGGGCACUCUAAUGAGAUCGCCGGCACGCAAAACCGGAGGAAGGUGGGGAUGACAAGUCCUCAUGGUCUCUAUGGUAGGGCUUCACACGUCAUACAAUGGUCGGGACAGAGGGUCGCCAACCCGCGAGGGGGAGCCAAUCCCAGAAACCCGAUCGUAGUCCGAUCGCAGUCUGCAACUCGACUGCGUGAAGUCGGAAUCGCUAGUAAUCGCGGAUCAGCAUGUCGCGGUGAAUACGUUCCCGGGUCUUGUACACACCGCCCGUCACACCAUGGGAGUGGGUUUUACCAGAAGUAGUUAGCCUAACCGUAAGGAGGGCGAUUACCACGGUAGGAUCAUGACUGGUGAAGUCGUAACAAGGUA
rnacentral:rRNA from 1 species